UACGUAGGGCGCAAGCGUUGUCCGGAAUUAUUGGGCGUAAAGAGCUCGUAGGCGGUUUGUCACGUCGGAUGUGAAAGCCCGGGGCUUAACCCCGGGUCUGCAUUCGAUACGGGCAGACUGGAGUGUGGUAGGGGAGAUCGGAAUUCCUGGUGUAGCGGUGAAAUGCGCAGAUAUCAGGAGGAACACCGGUGGCGAAGGCGGCUUGCUGGGCCUUACCUGACGCUGAGGAGCGAAAGCGUGGGGAGCGAACAGG
rnacentral:rRNA from 1 species